AUUGAACGCUGGCGGCAGGCCUAACACAUGCAGGUCGAACGGUAACAGGAAGCAGCUUGCUGCUUUGCUGACGAGUGGCGGACGGGUGAGUAAUGUCUGGGAAACUGCCUGAUGGAGGGGGAUAACUACUGGAAACGGUAGCUAAUACCGCAUAACGUCGCAAGACCAAAGAGGGGGACCUUCGGGCCUCUUGACAUCGGAUGUGCCCAGAUGGGAUUAGCUAGUAGGUGGGGUAACGGCUCACCUAGGCGACGAUCCCUAGCUGGUCUGAGAGGAUGACCAGCCACACUGGAACUGAGACACGGUCCAGACUCCUACGGGAGGCAGCAGUGGGGAAUAUUGCACAGUGGGCGCAAGCCUGAUGCAGCCAUGCCGCGUGUAUGAAGAAGGCCUUCGGGUUGUAAAGUACUUUCAGCGGGGAGGAAGGGAGUAAAGUUAAUACCUUUGCUCAUUGACGUUACCCGCAGAAGAAGCACCGGCUAACUCCGUG
rnacentral:rRNA from 1 species